UACAGAGGGUGCGAGCGUUUGUUCGGAAUUACUGGGCGUAAAGCGCGCGCAGGCGGCCUUUUAAGUCUGACGGUGAAAUGCCGGGGCUCAACCCCGUGCCCGCCGCGGAUACUGGGAGGCUGGAGACGGAGUAGAGGCAAGCGGAAUUCCGGGUGCAGCGGUGGAAUGCGCAGAUAUCAGGAAGAACACCAAUGGCGAAGGCAGCUCUCUGGGACGGUACUGACGCUGAGACGCGAAAGCGUGGGGAGCGAACAGG
rnacentral:rRNA from 1 species